GCCAGACAUGACCGCAACUCGCUCCACCCAAGCAGUCUGUGGCGGGAACGGCCGCCAGCGCCUCCCUAUAUUGCCGGCGGUCCGACCUGAUUGAGGACUGCGGCGGGGGCAGGGCAAGGGCGGGCUCUUCCCCUGCCCGUCCCCCUGCGGGCAGGGACGUCCGCGGUAUCGCCCCUGACGGGCGGCCGGGGCGGGAGCACGGGCGCGGCCCCGGCAGACCGCCGGCCCCGCCGCCGGCUCGGGCUGGGCGCCGCGGGAGCAGAUCCCCGGGCGGCCGGGGCGCACGCGCACGCGCGCACACACCGACGCCUGCCCCCAGACCGUCCUUCCCGGCGCGCACGGCCCGGUGUCCCGUUUCCCGCCGCUGCGGCGCUCGGUGCCGGGGGGGGGAGCCGGGCCCCGCGCGGCCGCGGGUCUGCAGCAAAAUCCAGCCAAUGGGGCGGCGGGGCCGGGAGCGCCGCUUCCCGCCCUCCCGCCCCCCCGCCCGCGCGGGGCCGCCCCGCCCCGCCCCGCCCCGCCCCGCCGCCAUUUCGCUGCGCUCCAACAAAGGGCCGGGACGGGUCUGGGGGGGACCCGCAGGCCGCGGUUGCGGGGUUCUGGAAUAACUUGGGGGUUUUGAACGGUUCCGGGCUGCUGGGUGGCAGCUCCUUCAUUUUUGGAGAAGCUGUUGGAUUUUGCCCCUGGUCUGUCGCCCCACGAUUCUACCCUGCGGGAGCUUCUGCGGUGACUCCUGGAGGCAGCACCGGUUUAUAAACCCCUCAGACCCCGCGAGCGUACACAGACUGUUUUAUGUUCGUUGUCUGAGUUCGUUUUUUAAUUUACUUUGGGUAUAUAUAUGAGGGUAUUUUAACUUUGUUCUGGAAGGCUCAACAAAUAAAUAUUUUUCCAAA